UGAAGUAAAAAAGGUUUGAAAGAACAAAUUUAAAUACUAAAGCCAACGGUAGGCAUGUUACGCUAAAAAAGCUCGAGGAACUGACUAAGGUGUUAGCUAUUUUGUGAGUUUCUCGGGCACUGACAAACAUACAUGCCUACUAAUAAAAGUCAAUGGCG
rnacentral:sRNA from 1 species